CACGCCGUAAACGAUGUCUAUUUGGAGGUUGUGCCCUUGAGGUGUGGCUUCCGGAGCUAACGCGUUAAAUAGACCGCCUGGGGAGUACGGCCGCAAGGUUAAAACUCAAAUGAAUUGACGGGGGCCCGCACAAGCGGUGGAGCAUGUGGUUUAAUUCGAUGCAACGCGAAGAACCUUACCUGGUCUUGACAUCCACAGAACUUGGCAGAGAUGCCUUGGUGCCUUCGGGAACUGUGAGACAGGUGC
rnacentral:rRNA from 1 species